rnacentral:lncRNA from 13 species
AAGACUCAGCCUGGGAAGUCACACACUGUCAUUUCUGCAAUAUCUUAUCUGUUACAUAGGUCAGCCUCAUUUGCUGUGGGAGGGGGACUAUAUGUGAUCAUGAAUACCAGGAGGCAGGAUUCAUUGGGGCCAUCUUGAAGGCUGGCUACUGUAGGAUGUGCCAUCUGCCACUUUCAUGCUUGGUCCAUAAAAAUCUCUCAUGUGCUCCUUCAAUCUCCUUUCCUGUUCCAGCUGGCUGAAAUGAAAUGACUCCCAGGGAAACUUGGAACCCAUGUGUUGAAGGUGGUAGCACUUCCAUCAGCCUGGGUCCUGAGUGCCUGCAGGAGGAUAUCCUGUGGAUCCAUGUACCUGCUGAGGACUACAAGCAUCUACUGAGUGCUGAUAUAGCUUGGAUAAGUGUCCACACCCAAAUCUAAGUUCAGCAUGAUUUGAGAUUGAAGAUUAUAACCUACUUGUGCUAUGCCUUGGUCAUAACUGGAGUCUGUAUCGUGUCUCAAAAAAAGAUCGACAUAACUGUUACUGAAUGAUUAAGUGAAUGAAGUAAUGGAUGAGUAAAUGAAUGCACAUCGAAUGAAUAGGCAUUACCAGAGAUGAGCCACAAGUGGAUCUUGGAGGAAAAAGAAAUCAAAGGAUUAAAAGUUUCUAAGUGUGGUUGACUAGGGAAAAGCAUAGCAUUGUUAGUUGAAUUGCCUGGCACCUAAUAAGUACUCAAUGAGUAUAAACUUAUAUAUGUAUGCUAGUGAAAAGAGACAAAUCUGGAAAGUACUGAAAGCCCACUACACACUUUUGGUAGUUUAACAGAGAGCUAGCCCCUGUGUUAACUCAACAGAUGCCAGUUGCUAAAUUCCAGAGGCUCUUUCUAACUAGGCCACUUCCUAAACAUCAACUUUUUAUUCUUACAUAGUUCCUAAGAAUGCCUUAUUCUCCAUUUCCUACAAAUACAUCGGGUAUAAUGGGGGAUAACGUCUAUCUCUUGGAACCCUGUGUGUCCAGCCCAGACAUACCUGGCCUAAGUACCCCUCUUUUUCUCUCUUUGAGAGUAAUGACAGCUUGAUGGAUUGUGGAUUGUGUGCACUCUGUACUUCUCUCAUGUAAGUUUUCCCCCAGAAAACCUUAUUAUAUAUUUUACAUCAUGUGGUCUUAGCAUGUGGGGAACUGAAAUAUCCCACAUAUCAUAGUUAAUACACAACACACUUAUAGUUGAGAUUUUAGAGGGGGGAUGUUAUGAGGGAAAUUUUAAUUUUAAAUAUGAUCCAGAGAGCUAUCAUCUGUAAAAAUGAACAUCAAUUUGAUACAGAUUAUAAAAUCCUAUUUAAAUAGAUUUGUAAAUACUUAAAUCUUUUUAAUAGAAAUUCUACAAAACUUAUUUUUUAAUGGAAAACACUCAUUAAACACGAACUUCAGAUCAAAUCAACUGAUACCUCUUUAUUGAAUGCAAGCUUGUGAUUGGCACUGUUUUGUAGCUAAUAAAAGCAGAAGGAAUGAUAGAACUAGAAAAGUA